UACGAAGGGUGCAAGCGUUAAUCGGAAUUACUGGGCGUAAAGCGUGCGUAGGCGGUUUGUUAAGUCUGAUGUGAAAGCCCUGGGCUCAACCUGGGAAUUGCAUUGGAUACUGGCGGGCUAGAGUACGGUAGAGGGUGGCGGAAUUCCUGGUGUAGCAGUGAAAUGCGUAGAGAUCGGGAGGAACAUCAGUGGCGAAGGCGGCCAUCUGGGACAACACUGACGCUGAAGCACGAAAGCGUGGGGAGCAAACAGG
rnacentral:rRNA from 1 species